rnacentral:rRNA from 1 species
AGUUGGUGGUGCGAGCUGUCUGGUUGAUUCCGUUAACGAACGAGACCUUUGUGAGAUAAUAGUUGAAUCAAGAUAUUGCGUCAAGGCUGGGGUUCACGUAUUAGGGAAGGAUCCGUUCCUCCUUUUACUCUGGGUCUCAGUUGCAAUCUAGAUUACAACUUCUUUCUCAGACAAAUGAAAAAAAUUCAUUGGAAGUUGGAGGCAAAAACAGGUCU